GACGAACGCUGGGCGGCGUGCCUAACACAUGCAAGUCGAACGGAACUGUUUUGAAAGAUUUCUUCGGAAUGAAUUUGAUUUAGUUUAGUGGCGGACGGGUGAGUAACGCGUGAGUAACCUGCCUUCAAGAGGGGGAUAACAUUCUGAAAAGAAUGCUAAUACCGCAUGAUAUAUCGGAACCACAUGAUUUUGAUAUCAAAGAUUUUAUCGCUUGAAGAUGGACUCGCGUCCGAUUAGUUAGUUGGUGAGGUAACGGCUCACCAAGACCGCGAUCGGUAGCCGGACUGAGAGGUUGAACGGCCACAUUGGGACUGAGACACGGCCCAGACUCCUACGGGAGGCAGCAGUGGGGGAUAUUGCGCAAUGGGGGCAACCCUGACGCAGCAACGCCGCGUGAAGGAUGAAGGUUUUCGGAUUGUAAACUUCUUUUAUUAAGGACGAAAAUUGACGGUACUUAAUGAAUAAGCUCCGGCUAACUACGUGCCAGCAGCCGCGGUAAUACGUAGGGAGCAAGCGUUGUCCGGAUUUACUGGGUGUAAAGGGUGCGUAGGCGGCUUUGCAAGUCAGAUGUGAAAUCUAUGGGCUCAACCCAUAAACUGCAUUUGAAACUGUAGAGCUUGAGUGAAGUAGAGGCAGGCGGAAUUCCCCGUGUAGCGGUGAAAUGCGUAGAGA
rnacentral:rRNA from 1 species